rnacentral:rRNA from 1 species
AACGUAACAAGGUUUCCGUAGGUGAACCUGCGGAAGGAUCAUUACCGAGUGUAGGGUUCCUAGCGAGCCCAACCUCCCACCCGUGUUUACUGUACCUUAGUUGCUUCGGCGGGCCCGCCAUUCAUGGCCGCCGGGGGCUCUCAGCCCCGGGCCCGCGCCCGCCGGAGACACCACGAACUCUGUCUGAUCUAGUGAAGUCUGAGUUGAUUGUAUCGCAAUCAGUUAAAACUUUCAACAAUGGAUCUCUUGGUUCCGGCAUCGAUGAAGAACGCAGCGAAAUGCGAUAACUAGUGUGAAUUGCAGAAUUCCGUGAAUCAUCGAGUCUUUGAACGCACAUUGCGCCCCCUGGUAUUCCGGGGGGCAUGCCUGUCCGAGCGUCAUUGCUGCCCAUCAAGCACGGCUUGUGUGUUGGGUCGUCGUCCCCUCUCCGGGGGGGACGGGCCCCAAAGGCAGCGGCGGCACCGCGUCCGAUCCUCGAGCGUAUGGGGCUUUGUCACCCGCUCUGUAGGCCCGGCCGGCGCUUGCCGAACGCAAAUCAAUCUUUUUCCAGGUUGACCUCGGAUCAGGUAGGGGAUACCCGCUGAACUUAAGCAUAUCA